UUUAAGAAGGUGCAAAGGGUUUAGAUGUACCUCGCUCUGAGCCUGAGCUUCAGUAUAAAGGCCACUCUUGGCCUCAUUCCUUGCCCUCGCUGCCCUCCCCCCAAAACCUGUAGUGGCUCCCCACUGCCAGCAGAGUAAAGUCUGACCCCUCAUUGGUCUGGCAUUCAGAGCUCUUCACCACCUGGCCUCGGAUGCCCUUCUAGAAUCAUCUCUCGCUGUUCUCUUUUGCAGGCACAAAUCCCAGAAGGAGCCAUGCACAGGCCUGGGAAACAGCCUAAGCCAAGAUCAGGUUGUCGUGGCUCAGCCUUCGGGAUCCGGGAGCGAAAGGCACGUUCCAGGCCUGAGGAGCUCGUCGGCGUGGAGACGGGGAGACAGAUGAGCAGUCCCUCAGGUGCCAGCAGGGGGACACCUGCCCAGACAGAUCCCUGCCCCAGGGUCCUCAAUUCAUUGGUGCAUUGGACAAAGAUGAAAGGCCCCGACACACCGGGCCCUUCACUGGGAGCUUUUCUGCAUAGCACCAAGAGAAUCUUCUGGAAGAACAACCCUAAUGAAACCCAUAGAAUAACUAAGGAAGGAAAGAAGGGUUCUCUACUUCAGCUAAGACCACUGGAAAGGACCACCCCCAACCCUUGUGCUUAGUGAAUAAAGACGGACCACACCCUGACGUCAGGAUGCCUACAUCCUGCUCAUAGGGACAGGUAAGGGAGGGACAUUUGCACAAUCCAGGAGCUGCAUUUUUAAAUCUCGAGUGUCCACUAUGGAAAUCAGUAUUGGAGGUUCCUCAAAGGACUAGGAAUGGAGCCACCGUACGACCAGCCACACCACUCCUCAGGAUUUAUCCAGAAGAAUCAAAGUCAGCGAUUCAUGCAUUCACAGCAGCCAAGUUGUGGGACUUGCCUGUCUGUCCUUCAGGGGAUGAACGAUUCAAGAAAAUGCAAACUAAAGCUUAGCAUACCCACAUCCUAGGGCCCCAGACCCUAAGUACACACCAAGAGGAGGAAAUGCAUACAGGCACCAAAGACAUGAGUGUGUGUGCACAAUGGAGUUUCAUUCAUCCAUGGGAAAAGAAAAGAAAUCAUGUCACUUGCAAGAAAAAUGGGUGGAAUCGGAGAGCAUUAUGUUAAGUGAAAUAAGCCAGAAAGUUAUU
rnacentral:lncRNA from 1 species